rnacentral:lncRNA from 7 species
ACCUAACACACCUGAGACAGCACAGGUGUUUUCACUCGGCCUGACUGCAGGAGGUUAUAAAAAAGGAGAGCUGGGCUCCUCCCUGGACAGAACGAAAGGAGGCAAGAGAAGAAGAAAUGGUGCUCAUUUUUAAGACCAGUACAUCAAGAGUGGGACAGUAUCCAUUCAACUACAGACUUGCCUGAAGCGUGGCUCUCUGCUUUCUCCUUCUUGUCUGGUUGUUGCUCAAGGGAAGACCACGGUUUGGGAUAAUCUCUACUCUCCAACAAACACAUCGCACAUGGGAAUGAUGUCUCUGAGCUUGUGCCUCUGCAAGGCCACACGCUUUAUGGCGCUGAGUCCAAGAGAAGACUUCCAAGUGAUUGUCAGGUUUGUAGAUCCUGCUGCUGCAACCGCUUAGGGCAACGUGCAUCACUUCUCUGUUGGAGCAGUGACACGAAGUCAGCACUGUGUUCAGGGCUGUUUGCUGACUGAGCUCCAAAACCACAGACUUUCUGCACUUAGUGCUUGGGAGACGUGAGCAGGGGGCUGGAGAAGGAAAAGAAAGCGUUUGUAGUGAUUGGCUGGGGAGCUUGGAGACCUGAAUCAAGACCUGAAGCUGUCAACUUGCUGAAGUAGUGUCUACACAAAGCUGGACUGCAUCAACAGUUCUCCAUUAUCAGCCGCUCUGUGGUUGGUGAGUCUCUUGUUCAAAUUGCUGAUUCCAGAUCCCCCCCACCUCCACAGAAGUUCUGCUGACUGGGAUGAGAUCCAUGCCAUCUAUGUUGAGAUCCACUGCGUAAAAAAUAUAGCUAACAGGAAAUCACAGGAUGAAAACAUCUCCUGUUUGGUGCCUGAACGCAACUGAAGGAAAAUCUGGAUGAAAGUAUAUAGGACUUAAAAUACGUGCCAAAAUAUACCAUAUACAUGUUAU